rnacentral:tRNA from 1 species
GUUAAAUUAGACCAACGUUUUUCAAAAACGGAAGUUUUAAAUA